UACGUAGGGGGCAAGCGUUGUCCGGAAUUAUUGGGCGUAAAGAGCGCGUAGGCGGUCCGAUAAGUCGACUGUGAAAGUCAGGGGCUCAACCCUUGAAAGCCGGUCGAUACUGUCGGACUAGAGUCCGGAAGAGGCAAGUGGAAUUCCCGGUGUAGCGGUGAAAUGCGUAGAUAUCGAGAGGAACACCUGCGGCGAAGGCGGGUUGCUGGGCCGACACUGACGCUGAUGCGCGAAAGCCAGGGGAGCGAACGGG
rnacentral:rRNA from 1 species